UUUGGAGUCCAUUUGAGCAGCUGGAGUUCAUAUAUACCACUUCUCUUCAUUGCUAAGGUGAGACCGAUGAGCAGGAGUGAUUUUUCGGACCGGUGCUAUUGGGCUUUUGGGCUUCUAUCGUUUUAUCGAUUUUAUCGUUAUCGGGCCUCUAGGCCUUUGGACUUUUAUCGUUAUGGUAUUUCGUAUUUUGGAUUCUCGGUUUAUGUCGUACCUUAUGUUUCGGAUUUUAUUUUAUAUUAUGGAAUUCAUGCGUGGAUGUGGACUUUCAAAUAUUUAUAUAUGGAUAUUUAAGAUA